rnacentral:rRNA from 1 species
AGGAUGAACGCUGGCGGUCUGCUUAACACAUGCAAGUCGAACGGAGUACCUCGGUACUUAGUGGCGGACGGGUGAGUAACGCGUGAGAAUCUGCCCUUAGGUCGGGGACAACCAUUGGAAACGAUGGCUAAUACCGGAUAAGCCGAGAGGUAAAAGAUUAAUUGCCUAGGGAAGAGCUCGCGUCUGAUUAGCUAGUUGGUGAGGUAAAGGCUCACCAAGGCAUCGAUCAGUAGCUGGUCUGAGAGGAUGAUCAGCCACACUGGGACUGAGACACGGCCCAGACUCCUACGGGAGGCAGCAGUGGGGAAUUUCCGCAAUGGGCGAAAGCCUGACGGAGCAAGACCGCGUGAGGGAGGAAGGCUCUUGGGUUGUAAACCUCUUUUCUUGGGGAAGAACAAAUGACGGUACCAAGGAAUCAGCAUCGGCUAACUCCGCGCCAGCAGCCGC